UACGUAGGGUGCAAGCGUUAAUCGGGAUUACUGGGCGUAAAGCGUGCGCAGGCGGUUAUGUAAGACAGAUGUGAAAUCCCCGGGCUCAACCUGGGAACUGCAUUUGUGACUGCAUAGCUAGAGUACGGUAGAGGGGGAUGGAAUUCCGCGUGUAGCAGUGAAAUGCGUAGAUAUGCGGAGGAACACCGAUGGCGAAGGCAAUCCCCUGGACCUGUACUGACGCUCAUGCACGAAAGCGUGGGGAGCAAACAGG
rnacentral:rRNA from 1 species